rnacentral:misc_RNA from 1 species
UCAAGAAGGCAGUGCAUUAAAGAUUAACGAUUUACAAACCUAUAAUUAACGACGCUUUUGUUCACAAAAUGCAUUGUUUAAUCUACAAUACAACAACAAUUACAAAAUUCAUUGCCUACGAUGAUUGAUAAACUGUAAUCGAACGAACGAACGGACGUCUCUGUAUGAUGAAAGCUCUUCCAAAACAUGACAACUCCCGUCUUUCUAGGUGUGUAGGACUGCAUUGCGGUUUGAGAAAUUUGGCUGCUGUUGCUAGCAGGUCAGGCGACCACUCGGAGGCUCCGAGGAAAUACUUUUUGUGACAGUGUUAUUGACAAGGCGUCAAAUGUUGUCGUCACAGCUGCUGCUGUUUUUGUUGUUUAACAUAGCGACCUGUUCUGCUCUGUAAAUACAGAGCAGAACACUCUUAAAACAAGGAAACAUCUCAACCGGACUUUACACCGAAAACUAAACCCUACCCACUACUCUCUCUCUCUCUCUCUCUCUUUCAAUAUAUUUAAUGUUACAAAGUGUUCACAACCAAUAACGCCUUCCCCCACCUCGUCCUCGCUUCUGCUGUCAUUAGUGCUGAUGAUGUUCUGACCCUCGGAGCCCAAAGCUUGUCCCUCUCCCAGUCACCACUUUUGAUAACGAGCCAACGAAGAAACCACGACAUGAUCGUUCAGUCUACUUGCUAGAAACAGCAGCUUAAUCUACCUCAAAUCAAACACUGCUGUCUUUUUAAAAGAAGGAGAAAAGCAACAUCAUCGAAAACAAAACAUUGGAUAAUGUACCCUGGAGUACGGUUUUCCUGGAAACGAAAAUAAAUAGUAACAACAAAAAAAGAAAAAAAAAGUAAUAAUAAUCCUGUAUAGUAAUGGCUUGGAUGAAUAUUGUAGAUCGUAGGUCUGCUCGAUCAGGGCCCGGGCCUGUUAGGGUGUUAAACCAACAAUAACACUGCCACCAGUACCACGAACGUCAUAAUCAGGAACAGCAGCAGCAGCAGCUGCCGUCUCCGCCGCCGCCGCCGCCGUUGCACUGCCAGCACCGUUCUGGGCGGGCUUCCAACCGACUGGAAUGGAGUUACAGAGUAAAACGGUAAAAGAAGACCAAGACACUACGGAUGGCUGGCGGCAUGCCGAAGCGGAGGAUGCCUUGUUAAAAGAAUCAUAUCAAUCCAUGCACGAUGUACCAGAGUCAGAAACAACGGAAGAAGUUGAGCCCACAAACCAGCGUGUUGUAUAUAUUAAUACUUCCCAACCGGUGAAAUACUGCUCCAAUAAAAUAAGCACUGCCAAAUACAAUUUUGCCUCAUUUCUUCCAAAGUUUUUGUUUGAGCAGUUUGGGAGAUAUGCUAACCAGUUUUUUCUCUUUAUUGCAUUACUUCAACAAAUUCCAAAUGUAUCGCCAACAGGGCGUUAUACAACGGCAGUGCCUCUCCUGUUCAUCCUUACAGUGUCUGCCAUCAAAGAAGUCAUUGAAGAUUGGAAGCGACAUAGAGCUGAUGAAGGAGUUAACAAUAGAGAAGUAUUGGUGUUAAAAAAUGGUGACUGGUUUCCAGUUAAGUGGAUUGACGUAACAGUGGGAGAUCUGGUCAAGAUCACGAGUAGCAAGUUCUUUCCUGCUGAUUUGCUGCUGUUAUCUUCCAGUGAGCCCCAAGGUAUGUGUUACAUAGAAACCUCCAACCUAGAUGGGGAAACCAACUUGAAAAUACGUCAAGGUUUGCCUCAAACAUCUGGGUUACUGACACAUCAAGACCUCAUGGAACUCAGUGGGACCGUUGAAUGUGAAACACCAAACCGUUUCCUUUAUGAUUUUGCUGGCAAUAUCCGGCCAUCUGGCAGACAAGCUAUUCCUUUGGGGCCAGACCAGUUGUUAUUACGAGGUGCUAUGCUGAGAAACACAAAAUGGAUCUUUGGUAUUGUUAUUUACACUGGUCAUGAAAGUAAGCUGAUGCUUAACACUACCUCUGCCCCUUUGAAGCGAUCUAAUGUGGAAAAAAUAACAAAUAAAGCUAUCCUGAACCUGUUUGUGCUAUUAAUAUGCCUGUCGCUGUUGAGUGCCAUUGCUAGUUUUGUAUGGACUCACAAUCAUGUGAACAGGGAUUGGUAUCUUGGAUAUGCAGAAAUGACCCCUAGCAAUUUUGGAUAUAACCUGUUAACAUUUAUCAUUUUAUACAACAACUUGAUCCCUAUCAGUCUCCAAGUAACCCUUGAAGUGGUCAAGUUCAUCCAAGCAAUAUUCAUCAACUGGGAUAUUGAUCUGUACCAUGAAGCUACCGACACACCAGCUAUGGCCCGAACCUCAAAUCUUAAUGAAGAAUUGGGUCAGGUCAAAUAUAUAUUCACUGAUAAAACUGGAACCUUAACAAGAAAUAUCAUGGAAUUUAAAAAAUGUUCCAUUGCAGGAAUAGUUUAUGGUUCCAAUGUUGAAGAUGAAGAGUUCAAUGAUCCCUUGCUGUUGGAAAAUUUUAACAAACAUGAAACCUCUGGGAAAAUUCGGGAGUUCCUCACCUUAAUGGCAGUGUGCCAUACUGUGGUACCAGAGACAAACGGCAAUGACAGUAAUAUUGUAUACCAAGCAGCAUCUCCUGAUGAAGGUGCUUUAGUCAGGGGUGCCAAGAAGUUGGGCUUUAUUUUUACGACGAGGACUCCUGAAACAGUCACAAUUGAAGUGUUUGGCAAGAAAGAAGUAUAUGAAGUACUAAAUGUACUGGAAUUUACAAGUCUCAGGAAACGAAUGUCAGUUGUUAUUAGAUGCCCUGAUGGAAAAAUCAAACUCUUCUGUAAAGGAGCUGAUACUGUGAUCUAUGAAAGAUUAGCUGAUAACCAGCAAUAUAAAGAAAUCACUUUAACUCACCUGGAAGAGUUUGCAACAACAGGUCUUCGAACGCUAUGUAUUGCCACCGCAGAAGUUUCUCCUGAGUUCUACAAUGAUUGGAAACACACUUACUAUAAAGCCAGCACCACGAUACAGAACCGGGAGAAGAGACUGGGAGAGGCAGCUGAAUUAAUUGAACAGAACCUUAACUUGAUAGGGUCGACAGCUAUUGAGGACAGGUUGCAAGAGGGAGUACCAGAGAGCAUUGCCAAUCUAAUGAGAGCAGAUAUAAAAAUUUGGGUCCUCACUGGAGACAAACAAGAAACAGCAGUUAAUAUUGGCUAUUCCUGUAAGCUUCUUACUCAGGGCACCCCUCUACUAAUGGUCAAUGAACACAGCCUUGAUCAGAAAAUUGGUAGCGAACACCGCAAUGGAAGUGCUGCUGGUGGUGAAAAUGUAUUUGUUAAAGCCACCAGAGAGACACUCCGUCGACAUGUCCAAGAUUUUGGUGAGCAUUUACGGAAAGACAAUGAUGUUGCUCUUAUUAUUGAUGGUCAGACAUUGAAAUACGCCCUCCUCUGUGACUGUCGACAAGAUUUCCUUGACAUUGCCGUUUCAUGUAGAUCAGUCAUUUGUUGCCGUGUAUCACCAAUCCAAAAAUCAGAAUUAGUAGAACUUGUCAAGCAUUCUGUGAAAGCUAUAACUUUGGCCAUUGGAGAUGGUGCCAAUGAUGUUGGUAUGAUCCAGUCAGCACAUGUUGGUGUAGGUAUCAGCGGUAACGAAGGCUUGCAGGCAGCAUGUGCUUCAGACUAUGCUAUAGCCCAGUUCCGUUACCUAAACAAGUUGUUACUCGUCCAUGGAGCCUGGAGUUACUCAAGACUGUGUAAACUUAUUUUGUAUUCUUUCUAUAAGAACAUUUGUCUGUAUGUCAUAGAGUUCUGGUUUGCCAUGGUAAAUGGCUUUUCCGGACAGGUUGUGUUCGAGCGCUGGAGUAUUGGUUUGUAUAAUGUGAUAUUUACUGCAUCUCCACCCCUUGUCUUAGGUUUGUUUGACCGAACGUGCAAUGAAGAAAGCAUGCUUCGGUUUCCAGCAUUGUAUAAAACUUCGCAGAGUGGAGAACUUUUUAACAUCAAGGUAUUCUGGAUGUGGCUCAUCAACUCUAUUUAUCAUUCUAUUUUGCUGUUUUGGUUAACAGUUCUUGCUCUUAAACAUGAUAUUCUUUAUUCAAAUGGAGAAGUUGGUAACUAUCUUCUCCUUGGAAACUUUGUAUAUACGUAUGUUGUUGUUACAGUAUGUCUUAAAGCAGGUUUGGAAACAAGUGCGUGGACUUGGUUGACACACCUUGCAAUAUGGGGCAGCAUUGUCAGUUGGUUCAUGUUUCUAAUUAUUUAUAGCCAUGUGUGGCCUGUCAUCAAUCUUGCACCAGAGAUGGUGGGCAUGGAUAGCCAUGUAUUUGGGUGUUUAAUAUUCUGGGCAGGCUUAUUAUUAAUUCCGACCGCAGCUCUUUUGCGGGAUGUCAUGUGGAAAGUUAUCCGACGUACUUUACUAAAAACACUCCGCGAAGAAGUCCAAGAAAAAGAACUAGCCAAUGAAGAUCCUUCUGGAGUGGUAUUAAAAUCGACGAAGAGAAGAGAAGCCAAAGGGAGAAAAAAGGUUCAGAUGAGAUUCCACUGAGUUCCAUCCUACCAACUACAGACGGAUUACUGAGACGGCUCGGUUGCUGAAAAAUGUCUUUUCGCGUUCACAUACUCGGAUUCCGACAGCAUCUGAUCAGCCACAUGGGUAUGCAUUUUCUCAAGAAGAACAUGGAGUUAUUCCACAG